UCCGUGUUUAUUCCACACGUAUCGAGUGCUUCCUUCUCAGUGAGUGUCUGCAACUCUGUGAGUCCCUGUGCUAUGCGCUCUCCCCCCAAAUGACACAGCGUCUAAGAGCACAACGCGGAUUCAAGUAGAAGGGCUUCUUGCAUCCUCCUAAAUUCAAGCCUUGGGUUGUGCCUCAUCUUCACCAGGAAGUCUUUCUGAACACGGACAGGCUUCCCAAAGAUGAACUUCAUUGUUCUGCUUCACUCUCUUCUGGCAAGGUGUCCGGGGCCCCUCCUUGCUGCUCUGAAUUGUUUACUUAAUUUUUCCGAGCUCAUCUGAGGACAAAGAACCAGACCAGACCCUGCAUCCAGCCCCUGACUGCAUAGGAAAAGCUCAGUGGGAGCUUGUAGAUUUGGUUCCCAGAAGCACACAAAAUAAAACAAAGUCCUGAAGACACCUACCCAAAUACA